GGUCCCAGGGGAGAGUGGGUGUUGUGGAGCAGCGAGGACUGCACGUACUGCACAACCAGCAAAGUCUCCAAGGGCAAUGGGCAUUUCUGGGAUGACUUGGAGAGCGCUGCCCAAAGGCAUCAGCAUUGGACACUCCCACCUCAGAAGACUUCCUCUGCAGUAAAGAGUUAGCCAACACCUUCUCAUGAUAUGCAGAAUAUGUAGAAUGAGAAUUGGAAGUAAAGAAGCCACCAGCUGAAUGCAGGUCCCGUGAGAACCGUGUCCCCAUGAGUCCUUUCCCUCUGGAGGAGGGAAGUGAAUGAACUCUGCUCUUCCUUUUUUCUCAUUCAACCAACACAAGGAAGUAACUACAGAAAAAUCAAAAUCAAAAGCCACAGAGCUCUCCGUCUGGGCAAAAUGAUUGGGAGGAAUAGAAGAAAGAAGGAGAGAAAGAGGUUCAACUCUAAGACAUCCUAAACUAGACCUUGGACCAGGAAUCAUAAGCUCUCUGGGUCAAAGGGCAGCAGGUCGGCCAGAACCAGCGACAUGCGGUCGGCCCAUCCUCCUAGAGCGGCAUCGGAACUGCGCUGGCGGGCCUCGUGAGCACUGCUCCGCAGCAUCCCCUCUGCCUUGGUUCCGCGUGCGCAAAACGGGAGUCAGGGGAUCGCGGGUCGUCUGAGGCGCCGGCAAGGGCCGCCGGGCUGCGGAGGAAAGGCGCGGGCACACGUCUCCCAGGGCGCCUGCACGCUCUGACUGUUGACGAUCGGCGCGCAGUACUGGAGGAGGCCGACGCACCUAACCCUAACGCUGGGCAGCGGGGAAGUGGCGGGAGCCUGGCCGGAAAGCUGCCUCUGCCCCGCCCUCCCUGCGUCUCUCUGGUUCGGAUCCGCUAAGUCGCGCCUGCCCCGGAAGCCCCGUGGGGUGACCUUUUCGGAGAAAGCUUUCCACGUGGCAGAGUAGAAUUUUGACUUAUUUUACCCUCUGGAAAGUUGAGGAGUUGUUUAAAUGGGGGAGGGAGGUAAAAGGUGGAAGAGAUUAUUGCAUUUCGCCUUCUUUGUGUGGUCUUUCCAGCCUCUGAGGGGGACCGGCAGGUGCCGCCUCUAAAUAUGGCACCUUGGCAUGAGCAUUAUUUGGAGCUAAAGUUAGCUGAGAAUCACCAGGUGGAGAGAGAAUUCUCCGCCCUGCCCCUGUGCACCUAGGAGCAGGGAAUAAAUUUCCUUGCGUGACGGUGUGCUUUUGUAUCAGGAAGAAUGACUCUUAUCGGAGACCAAGUAGGCACCCCAGAGAAGUCUGCAUAAGCAAGCUUGCCUAAAUGUCCCUUACCUUUCACCAGUUCCUCCAUGUAGUUCCUAGUUAUGUCCCUUGAAACCGAAAACCUCUUUCCUUUAAGAAAGUUACAUAAGCUCCUGGGUCUAACUUCGUGCAAUUUCGCUUCUUUUCCGUGUACUCCCCUGUGUGCAAAAUUUGAAUAAAA